GAUGAAGAACGUAGCGAAAUGCGAUACGUAAUGUGAAUUGCAGAAUUCAGUGAAUCAUCGAAUCUUUGAACGCAUAUUGCGCUCUCUGGUAUUCCGGAGAGCAUGCUUGUUUGAGUAUCAGUAAACACCUCAACUUCCAUAUCUUUUUUGAAAUGGGAGUUGGACUUGAGUGAUCCCAACGCUUUUCCUCACCGAAAAGUGGCGGGUUACUUGAAAUGCAGGUGCAGCUGGACUUUUCUCUGAGCUAUAAGCAUAUCUAUUUAGUCUGCCUAAAAACAGAUUAUUACCUUUGCUGCAGCUAACAUAAAGGAGAUUAGUUCUUGUGCUGACUGAUGCAGGAUUCACAAAGACAGGCUUCGGCCGACUUUGUAAACUCGAUUCAAAUCAAGUAAGACUACCCGCUGAACUUAAGCAUAUCAAUAAGCGGAGGA
rnacentral:misc_RNA from 1 species